rnacentral:rRNA from 1 species
GACGAACGCUGGCGGCGUGCUUAACACAUGCAAGUCGAACGGAAAGGCCCUGCUUUUGUGGGGUGCUCGAGUGGCGAACGGGUGAGUAACACGUGAGUAACCUGCCCUUGACUUUGGGAUAACUUCAGGAAACUGGGGCUAAUACCGGAUAGGAGCUCCUGCUGCAUGGUGGGGGUUGGAAAGUUUCGGCGGUUGGGGAUGGACUCGCGGCUUAUCAGCUUGUUGGUGGGGUAGUGGCUUACCAAGGCUUUGACGGGUAGCCGGCCUGAGAGGGUGACCGGGCACAGAGGGACAGAGAUACAGGGCAGAGACCUAAAGGAGGGAGAAGUGGGGAAUAUAGUACAAAGGGCGGAGAACUGAGGCAGGAAAGCGGCGAGCGGGGGGUCGGCGUUCGGGGGGUGAACCGCGUUCGCGUGUGACGAAAAGUGAGUGACGGUAAAGGGUAUAAAGAAACAGGCUAUAAAUAUG